CUCAAAGUAUAUAAAAAUAUCAGUAUGACACUCUGGAAUUGUCCACCCUGUUUUGAAUUCCAUUUUAAAGAAGAAAAUGAAAGAACUGCAAAGACAUUCUACCAAUUUUAAAGUCUCUUUUCAACUAAGGUGCAUGUACACACGGAAGAAUGAUGUUUUCAUUGCAAGCAUGCAUGCAGAAUCUGAGCACAAUGAGCAUGAAACUAUUGUGGGAAGACAGAGAAGUCCACACGUUCUUAGUUUCUGAGCCUUGCUACUCUUUAUUAGACCUGAGUAGACCAAAAUGAACCAUCACACUUUUCAAUAGUGACCUUGAGGUGGCAGCAGCAUUACAUUCAAUUCUGCCAUCCACCAAGUCCAUUAAAGGUGAAAGUAAAAUUUGCAAUAAAUCAAAAUAAUACUGAUUGUUAUAAUUUUAUUACCAGAGCAUUAAGUCAAUAAAACUUAUCUGAAAUGUCAUUUGCAUUGUAUACAAUUUUUACUAGUUAUCAAGUAUAUUUUAAAAGCAUGUUUAAAACAACCAAAUGAAGAAAUCAGUGAUAAAUUGUUGGAAAGCUGGGACUUGUCUAAUGGUGUAGUAAAACUAAAGUCUGUUUUGAUCUCUUGUAUUGUAAAAGAUUGUUUCUGAAAGCAUUUGUUAGUACAAUAAUGUUUCAUGUCUUGACUAACUAUAUU